UCAAGAGGAAAAACUGUUUUCAUCUUCAUCUCAUCUGAUCGUUCCAACACGGAUAUUUUCACAACGACAUGAACAUCUGGAAUGAAGCUAAGUGGUGAGUGAGAGCGGUGUGAAAGUGGACGCCGUUUUGUUUCAUGUUCGUAUCAUAACAACGGCUUGUAUAUCCACCGUCCUCGCUCUUCCUGUUUCCCUUUUUGAAUGAUGAAUACAGACUACCGCCGCCUGCUGGUGUGGAGAGUUAUUUCAUCUCACGCAGACACAGAGCGUACAUACUAACUGGCCGUCGGUUGUAGUCUUUGUGUGGUGUUCAAGUGCAACUUGAACCACUAGACACAAGACACCUGAUUGGAUGAACGCUUUCACUCGUGGGCUGCUGCUCCCAGCUUUCAAACCGGAACCAACAUGGCGGCUCGAUUGGAAACUUUCUUUUCUGAUAUCACGAAAAUAAUUCACCGAAAUGUGUUUCUGAAAAGAUUGUAUGAGAGAAAUAAGUCAUGCAGUUGAUGAAACUGUCAACAGUUAGUUUAAAGGUUUCUCAGGAGUUUCCAGAGGCGGCGAGUCGCUCUGGACGCCUGUAAUUUGCAUAACGUAGCCUAGACCUCCAACUUUAUGCAAAUGAGGACCGGCCAACGUGACGCCUCGUCUCUCGAAUCGCAUCGCCAAGCUACCAGAAUGCAUUGCACGGUGCUUACCUAGACAAUAAAU